rnacentral:lncRNA from 10 species
GGUUUUCCUUUUAAUGAAAAGCAGCCCCAAAUUAUUUUCCUUUCUAACAAAGAGCAGCCUGUAAAAUUGAGCUGCAGACAUAGAUCCUGGCAGUUGUGCCAGUCAUGUUCAAGAUGGCAGCACCAUCUUCCCUUCUCUUUGUCAGCCAUGUGGACAGUAAGGAGCAGACAAGAUGGCGCCACAAAGGGGAAAGUUCAUUUGCGUAAUAAGAUUAGGAUGGGGAGGCCAGCCUUCCCCUCUCGAUAUGUAAACGUCAUACCUGAUGGAACCAAUCUGUGUGCCCUGUGUAAAUCAGACACUGCCUCCUCAAACCUGACUAUACAUACAAUUCGGAUCAUCUGCCACUGGCCAGUCUUUCUUCUUGGAAGGCCCCUCUCUCUCUCACUGGAGAAAGAGCUGUUUUCCUUUCUCUUUCUUUUGCCUAUUAAACCUCUGCUCCUAAACUCCUCGUGUGUGUCCGUGUCCUAAAUUUUCCUGGCUGAGAUGACGAACCCCGGAUAUUUACCCCAGACAACGUAGCCACUUCAGCAGCGAUCCAGAACUCCCCUUGUGUUUCCACUCAAUCGCAGCCUGUUCCCACCCUAUCCCUAAUGGGAACCACUAUGCUGAAUUCUGUGCUUAUUUCUUUAUUUUUCUUCGUGCUGGUACCACUUAUCACUCUCUCGCUCUAAAAAAUAGAUUUGGAUAUUGUCUAUUUUGAAUUUCAUGUAAAUGGAAACAAACUCUAUGUAUCUUCUUAUUUCUACUUCUUUGAUGGAAACUCAUCAUUUUUUAUGAGAGUGUUGUUUUCAAAAGACAUUCUCUUUCUUUGUCAUUCUGCCUGUACCAUCAGGAUCUAGCAAAAAUCAUUAUUGCUAAAUUUAUCCUUUUCUCAUCCCAGGUUUUCUCGGAACGUGACUUGCAGUUUCCAGACAGGGUUUACUACUAUGUUUUCCAGAUUGCUUUAUACUAAAUCCAGUUUCAGUGUGCAGGCCCUCACCCCCUCCUAGCUGCCUACCACCCAUCCCCUCCACCAAAGAAGGCGCACAAGAUGCUUCCUUAUCUCCUCUUUUGCACGUUAAUAAUAGAGAUCCAGGCCAGGUAUGUUUGGAUUUAUAUGAAGAGUUUACAUUUAAAUUGAUUUGAAAAUUCCUUUCAUUCAACAAUUAAAUACAGAUUUCAUCUCUAAUAAGAAUUCAUUUGUCUACAACUCAGAGUGGCCAAAGGAAAUAGCAACACAGAGAACUUAGUCUAUUGAAUGAACAAAUAACUCAUUCACCAACAAGGCUGCUACCUCUUAGGAUCUGCUGGGAACAUGUGAGUGAAAAACUAAAUGUAGGAAUCAAGGUAAAACUUACUGUUUAUCACCAUAGGCAAACACAUCAGUCACUGCAUCAUCUAUCUCCUUCAAGUUGUGAACCAAAACAUAUCUGAUACAGGUCUCAAUCCAUUUAGAGAUAAAUUGCCCAAGGUUAAGUAUAUGCAGCUGAGAGGCAGGUCUGUGCCUUUCUCCAGAGAUGAUUUUGAGGGCUUUAAUAUUUAAAGGGGAAAGAGCGGAUACUGGGGAAAGAGGAAGAAAUGUUUACAAGGUGUGGAAAGAUACGAGACAAAUGGUUGCAUUCUUUUGAGUCUUUGAUCAGCCUUUCACCAAAUACGCAAU